GGGGAGCCUGGCCGGAGACCUGAAAUUGAGAGCGUAAAAGAGUGUAAAAGUAGAAUGUAGGUAAAAACAACAAGAACUAUACGUCGGGUAAGAGAGAGCCUAAAGCUGGAUCUGAAGGGAAAGUAAAGAGAUACGAAAGGUCAAAUAACAAACUUUUAUUACUUGGAGUGCAAGUAAGUAGCCCCCCGUAAAGGGGUAGGUACGCUUGGGA